rnacentral:lncRNA from 1 species
AUUUCCAUACAUAUUUUCUUCAAUGGCUGUUGAGAAGGUGCUGAGAUAUAAUUAAAAUCACAAGAUCUAACUUUGGUAAAAUGUUAUCAAAGAACUUAUAAGCAGUUUGCAUGUUUGUAUGCAAGGAUGUGGAAAUUCAACCGUUGCAGCCAGGCCUGGAAAUCCCAAAUCUACAAGACCAAAUAAAACAAACUGAUCCCCCCACUCCUUUUCAUCAUCUUUUUGAGAAUUGUUCCACCAUCUGGUGACAGUUAAAGCCCUAUCUGAGAUCUUGCUGCAAGCUCUCAUUUCUUUUGAACCACUUUCAAGAAA